rnacentral:tRNA from 1 species
AAAGCUUUAGCUUAAUUAAAGUAUCUGUUUUGCAUGCAGAAGAUGUAGAAUAAAUUCCUGUAAGCUUUA